rnacentral:rRNA from 1 species
GACGAACGCUGGCGGCGUGCCUAAUACAUGCAAGUAGAACGCUGAAGGAGGAGCUUGCUCUUCUGGAUGAGUUGCGAACGGGUGAGUAACGCGUAGGUAACCUGCCUGGUAGCGGGGGAUAACUAUUGGAAACGAUAGCUAAUACCGCAUAACAGUAGAUGUUGCAUGACAUUUACUUAAAAGGUGCAAUUGCAUCACUACCAGAUGGACCUGCGUUGUAUUAGCUAGUUGGUGGGGUAACGGCUCACCAAGGCGACGAUACAUAGCCGACCUGAGAAGGGGAUCGGCCACACUGGGACUGAGACACGGCCCAGACUCCUACGGGAGGCAGCAGUAGGGAAUCUUCGGCAAUGGACGGAAGUCUGACCGAGCAACGCCGCGUGAGUGAAGAAGGUUGUCGGAUCGUAAAGCUCUGUUGUAAGAGAAGAACGAGUGUGAGAGUGGAAAGUUCACACUGUGACGGUAUCUUACCAGAAAGGGACGGCUAACUACGUG